rnacentral:rRNA from 1 species
ACGGCCAUACCAUGCUGAAUAUACCGGUUCUCGUUAGAUCACCGAAGUCAAGCAUCAUUGGGCGCGGUCAGUACAUGGGCGGGUGACCACCUGGGAACACCGCGUGCCGUU